rfam:Vigna angularis cultivar Jingnong 6 chromosome 2, whole genome shotgun sequence.
GAAUGACAUGACGAUUAGUUGUUUCCCUAUUGGUUUGAUUGCCAGUAUGAUGGCAAAAGUAUUAGCUCUAUCUGAUCAUUC